CAGAACAAACAUGUUAUCAAACUCCGCCUCAGUCUAUUAAGAAAAAAUACCAUAUGGCGUCACAGGAACAUCAAACCUGUAUGCACAUAUAAUAAGACUCUACUAGCAGCGAAGAUGUGUAGAUUAAUUAAGGUUUCUAAUCAUUGUUGGGUAUUGAGAUUUCUGUGCAAAACAAUAAAAUCAGUUCUAGACCUGGGGCACAAUAUUCUUACAGUGAUCUCCACACUAGCCUUACAUGGAGUGAAGACUACGUAGUAAUCUUGGGUCAACUAAAAGUUCUAAAAGUGGAACAAUCACCAUG